rnacentral:rRNA from 1 species
UACAGGGGGUGCAAACGUUGCUCGGAAUUAUUGGGCGUAAAGCGCGCGUAGGCGGCUACUUAAGUCGGAUGUGAAAGCCCUUGGCUCAACUGAGGAAGUGCACCCGAAACUGAGUGGCUAGAGUACGAAAGAGGGUCGCGGAAUUCCCGGUGUAGAGGUGAAAUUCGUAGAUAUCGGGAGGAACACCGAUGGCGAAGGCAGCUCGCUGGGACGGUACUGACGCUGAGACGCGAAAGCGUGGGGAGCGAACAGG